rnacentral:tRNA from 1 species
GUUAGCUCAGUGGUAGAGCGUCUCCCUUACAAGGAGGAGGUCGCAGGUUCAAGUCCUGCAC